rnacentral:ncRNA from 2 species
UGUAAUUAAAGAGGUGCAUUUGUCAUAGCUCUGGUGUUAGGCGCAUAAACCCCUAUGAUCACUAGAAAGGAUAGAACUAACGCCGAAAGAUUAUCCAAGUUUAUGAUUGGUAGUCUUGGUUUUGAUAUUGAAAGGUAGUAGAACUGUCAUGUCGUUUAAAAAAAUGUAUCGACGUGAGGUGCUUUAGUUUGU